GCGGGCGCUAACGUGACAGCGCUUCCGGUUCGGGUGCCGGCGGUGCCGCCGCUCCCUCGGCGGGCGGAGUGUGGGGCUCGGGCACCCGGCGGCAUCGGGGCGGGCGCUGGGGCCGCGCGGCGCUGCCGCUGCUGCUCCGGGCUGCUGCCGGGGCUCCCGUGCCGCCGGCCGUGCGCGGGAGGGCGGUGCGGGGAUUUCCCCGCGCUGAGGGGAACCGGCCCCGGCGCCUCCCGAACCCGCCGCUCCGGCGCUGACAGGGAGUUUGUGAUAAAUGAAAAAGAUGCCUUGUAUUCUCGGAGUGGUGCAUUCUACCUCUGCUGUUUUUCCUGCUAGUCUGGAUCCUCUGCUUAGAUUUUUUUCUUCAUAUUUUAGGUGCCCUGGCUGUGGUGGAUGUCCCGAUCGAGGGCAGUGAUGGCUUUCAUGAAGAAAUCUUUAAAUGAAGACGGGAUUACCCAAACCUUUCCCUUCCCUGCUGCACUAGAAGCCAGGAAUAUCCUGUUGCUUCAGUCUGAAAACGGAACAGUUUAAAAAUCACGAGGAGGUGAGCAAAGAACCUGCUGUGCCCCUGGAUUCUGCAUUUACCACUUUGCUAAAGAGAGCCUAUGAGAGAGGAAGCAAUACCCUACUGGAAGGUGGUGUUCAGACAAAAUUGGCUUCCUGGCUCCCACCUGACCAGCUUUUGUUGGGAGUAAAGCAUGUGCUGUUAUACCUGAAAUCCACAGUGGAGAACUUCAGCAGGCUUGGUAAAACUUUGGGUCCUCAGCUUGUUGAUCUCUGUGUGGACCUGCUGAGCAUCUUGUUGUGCCGGGACAAUGAAAUAAAGCUGGAGCAGCAGCAGAAGCAGGAGGAGCAUCAGGCUGAUGGGAUCUCUUCAUGGAUGAGGAGCCUCUGAUGACAGAAGUGUCUUCAAAUGACAAGACCCUGGAGGAUGCACUCACCUUGAUUUUCAGACAUCCUGCACUGGAGAGCUGGUUCCUGGCGUUGGAGCUGCGCUCUAUUCCUCAGCCUGGUCUGAACCCUGUCACUGUGAAGCUCCUGUCAGCUCACCUCCAUUCUGGGGUGCUCCAGCUGCUGAAAACGAGAGAUCACAGACACGUCUUGUCCAAGUAUUUCAAAGCCAUCACCAAAAGUGUCCUGGAAGAGCUGCAGACUGGGGGGAAGGACCAAAGCCAGGUCUAUCCCAGGAAGUCUCACCAGCUGCAGGCUCUGGAGGAGCUGCACAUGUACAUGACUGCAGCUCAGCUGAAGGAGAUCACUUUAACCAUGCUGCAACUUCCUGAGAUGGGCUUGGCUUCUCAGAAAUCUGAAAAAUCCCCUAAAACAGGGAAGCAGUUAAGCUUCUAUGGAGAAAUUUUGGUGCAGCUCUUUACAGACAGCUACCAAAGAGCUUUACAGACAGCUACCCUAACCCCUAAUCCUAACCCCUGACCCCUAACCCUAAACCCCUAACCCUAACCCCUUAACCCCCUAACCCUGCCCCACUUCUCCACAGCCCGGUCUCUUGCUAAUCUCUCCUCAUUUCUGGUCAAAAUUAUGAUCACACCAGUGCCAGUAUGGUGCAGGGUCCAUUGUGACACUGUGUUACCUGUAGGUAAAGCUUUAUAAAGUAAGGGCCUUGACACCCUUGUAAAAUCAUGGCUCAGGCCUGUUACUUUGACUAAGUAGAAGAGGACUAUGGGCAAGUGUUCCAGCUGAAUUAGAGGAAGAAAAACAAGUUAUAUGACCAUUAUGUGUUCACAUCGUGGUUUAUGGUGGUUAGUUGAAUUAUAUUUGUUGUGCCUAAAUGGAAUGCAACUGAUAAUGGCCUAACUGCUUUAAAAGGCCUGGUUUUUGCAAUAAAGGUCUCUCUCUUGCAUCUGC